rnacentral:lncRNA from 1 species
UGAAAUGAAGAUCUGGAUCCGAGGUUCCUCUCAGCACAAAUGGGAUUAUUCUCAACCUUGAUAGUUAAAAUGAACAAGCUGAAGUUUCUUGCAGCUGACAUGAUCGCUCGAUCCAAACUCCUCUCAUCAAUUUCUCCAAAUUUUUGGGUAUUCUAUUUUUAGACAGAAGGAAAUAAAAACGUAGUCACCUAAAAAGACCCAAAAGUCGAAAAGCAAGAGAUCAAUCAAGAAAA